AUCCUGUUGUUCCGUCAUGGCAGAUCAGAGCCAGAGUCACGAGACGCCGAGGCGUUCCUCGUCUUCCUCAGACAGAAAACGUCAGAGACGUGAGGAAGCUCUCCCUUGUGAGGCAUCUAAGAAACGCAAGGAUGACGCUGGCUUUGUUCAACAGCAGGGUGACGAUGGUGCGCCGCCGCCGGCUGUUGCUGGGCCGAGCCAUAGUGUAAAUAGUGCUUCCACGGGUGAAGGUUACGACCGUUUGAGCUGCCUUUUGAAUAGUUUAAUAGAGAAACUGGAGAAAAACACCGAGACUACUGCUUCCCAGAGCGGGUUUGGUGGUUUUCAUGACCUUUCUCGUCUGAGGGCGAGGAUGGUGAGAUUCCUGAGUGUUUGCCAGACCCUUUGGAUGAUCUGGACGCUUUUGGUUCCGCGCAGCAGAGUGGUACAGACGCCGACAGUGCAGAGUUUCUCCAGGCAUUAGACGAGUUUUCUGGCAUUUUUCAGGGUGAAGAGAAGUAGGGCGAGCCCUUGUCGGACCGUCUUGCCUCUAUUCUAAAUGCUAGCCUUCGCCGUCGCCCCUCUACUGACGGCGUGAAAACAGUGUGCAGCAGGAUCAAGAUUCCCAACAAUGUGCCUAAUUUGACUGUUCCUGUGACAAACGCAGCUGUUACCAAAGCCAUGGGUGUUGGUGGUAAGCUUUUAGACACCAGGCUCUGCCAUACCAAUGGCGUGCUAAUCAAGGCCUUGGUUCCCAUUGCACGGUGUGUUAACGAUAUUGGGGAGAAGACAGGGAAGCCCAUCACCUCGUAUUUGAGUGAUUUAAAUGACAGUCUUCGCCUUUUGACUUCCGCAGUUAAUUACUUAAACCAAUUACGAAAGGAAGUUGCACGUAUUCAUGCCAAUGAUUCUGCUUUAGCCGAGCUAUGCAAGUGGGAAUGCGAGGUAGGGAAAGACGACCUGUUCCCCUUUGAUGUCAUUAAGAAGUGUGACGAUAUUCUCCGAUCCAGAAGGCUGGGCAGGCCUGCUUUCCGACCCUACAAGUACGGCAGGGCCAGGAGACAUGCUGCUCUUCCCAGACAAGACAACAGGAAGCCCCACUACCCCCAGUCCAGACACAGGACCGCACAGAGGCCUUUUUAGGCCACAGGGCGUCCCAGGGGAGAGGGACGCAGGGCUACAGAGUUCCCCAGUAACUCCACAUCCGGUCUGCUUCAUCUAGCGAAGCUGCCUUGUCCCUGCCUCUUUCCACCAUCCUCUCCACUGUGGGUUGGUCCAGUGCAUCAACCUUCGCAAAGUACUACCAGAGGCUUGUCACGAAACAGGGCCUCUGUGCGAAAGCUGUCUUGCCUAGUUAGAUAAUGCUCUUAUUUUGCUCUGUUUUUUGUAUACUAUGUAUUGUGCAGACAUGUACGAGGUACUUAAUGUUUUUUGGGUGCGCAUAAUGCGACAUUUUUCUUUUUUCUUUUUUGUUACCCAUGUAAAUUUUUUCAUGUUGGGAUUAUGGUCUGCCGAGUACAUGCCAUUGAUGCUUUGCUUUCUGUUUGUGUGCUUGUUUUUUCUAAAUAAAUGUCCUUUUUGGGGUUUACUGGUAUACUCAUUUUUCUUUACCUACGAAGUUUGGUUUGGUAGGUUUGAGGAAUUACUCUAAAGCUCUCGUUGACUACCUCGUGACGUCAGUUAAAUGGCUUGUUGAAGUGAAAUUGUAAGAUUAAGCGAGUACUUACCGGUACGAAGAUUGAUCGUAAUUUCACGAAUGCCAUUUAACUGCGUCACUGAGGUAUUAAACGCCCGCCCUACCCUUCCCUGUUCCUUCGUACUCUUACGUUGUAGUUCGUCUCUUCCUCAAACCUCCUUUGAAUGACUGACGGGAGACUGGCGCCGCAUGCAUCUUGUUUAAUACCUCAGUGACGCAGUUAAAUGGUUAAAUGGCAUUCGUGAAAUUACGAUCAACCUUCGUACCGGGAAGUACUCGCUUAAUCUUACAAUUAGUAACUCUUUCAACCCUUUGUCCAUUAAGCAUCAGAACUCUGUCAGUCACAUCUCUUGAUUGGAAUUUGGUCUUACCUACAUUCACCACUAACCCCAGACGUAAGCACAAGUAAUCAAGUUCAGCAAGUGCCCGAGUCAUAACCCUUUCAUUAACACAUUGCAGCAGGAUGUCAUCAAGACUUGAGUGCCAUGAGGAAAAGUGUGUCUACCUAUUUGAUCCAUUAAUAUAUUGAAAAGUGUUGGACUUAAAACAUCACC
rnacentral:misc_RNA from 1 species